rnacentral:rRNA from 1 species
UACAGAGGUCCCAAGCGUUGUUCGGAUUCAUUGGGCGUAAAGGGUGCGUAGGCGGCGCGGUAAGUCGGGUGUGAAAUCUCGGAGCUUAACCCCGAAACUGCAUUCGAUACUGCCGUGCUUGAGGACUGGAGAGGAGACUGGAAUUUACGGUGUAGCGGUGAAAUGCGUAGAUAUCGUAAGGAAGACCAGUGGCGAAGGCGGGUCUCUGGACAGUUCCUGACGCUGAGGCACGAAGGCCAGGGGAGCAAACGGG